rnacentral:rRNA from 1 species
GAUGAACGCUGGCGGCGUGCCUAAUACAUGCAAGUAGAACGCCGCUUCGAACGGGUGUGUAACGUGUAGGUAACUGCCUCAUAGCGGGGGAUAACCAUCGGAAACGAUAGCUAAUUCCGCAUACUGUGAGACGGACCUGCUUUGCAUUAGCUAGUUGGUGAGGUAAAGGUUCACCAAUGCGACGAUACAUAGCCGGCCUGGUAGGGUGGUCGACCACACUGGGACUGAGGCACGGCCCAAACUCCUGCGGGAGGCGACAAUGGGGAAUCAUCGGAAAUGGGCGGAAGUCUGACCGAACAACGCCGGGUGGGUGAAGAAGGUUUUCGGAUCGUAAAGCGCUGUUGUUAGAGAAGCGGUAACUGACCAGGAAGGAACGGCUAACUACGUGCCAGCAGCCGCGGUAAUAC